AACAGUCUACAUAACGUGAACCGAUUCAGUUAAACCGAGUCGCACUUUGCUACAGCGACCAGCCAAUCAGAAGACGCAAAACAGAGUUUCGGAUUGGCUGGCGCUGGGAAGUCCCGCCCCCAGGUCACGCAGCUUUGGCGUGGUGGUGAGCUGUGAGUGGAGUGGCUGCUGCUGCCUCAUGGCCUGAGCGGAGGUCACCCACAGAACAGCCUGCAACCCCGCAAACAUUACACCUUAACUAUCGAUUACAGCGAUCAAUACAGUUACAGCAGGAACAUACUGAAUAGCAGGCAACUUGCAAUAGGCCUUACAGUGUGCAUACUCAGACCAGACACCAGAUCAUCCUGCAGCCAAUGAGGUUUAAAGAGUCUAAUCUAGAAAACCCAUUUACAUGAGUACCUGAAGCAGCCUAAAGAGGGAAGCAAACCCACCGAAUAAACCCCAACCUACAGACCGCGGAUCA
rnacentral:lncRNA from 1 species